rnacentral:rRNA from 1 species
UACGAAGGGGGCUAGCGUUGCUCGGAAUUACUGGGCGUAAAGCGCACGUAGGUGGCGACGUAAGUCGGGUGUGAAAGCCCCGGGCUCAACCUGGGAAUUGCAUUCGAGACUGCAUUGCUGGAGUACGGAAGAGGAAGGCGGAAUUCCCGGUGUAGUGGUGGAAUGCGUAGAUAUCGGGAGGAACACCAGUGGCGAAGGCGGUUGCCUGGGGCUGUGCUGACGCUGAUGCGCGAAAGCGUGGGGAGCGAUCCGG